UACGGAGAGUGCAAGCGUUGUUCGGAAUUACUGGGCGUAAAGCGAGUGUAGGCGGUCAGGAAUGUCGGGUGUAAAAGCCCGGGGCUUAACCCCGGAAUGUCGCCCGAAACUACCUGGCUUGAGUUCGGGAGAGGGAGGCGGAAUUCCCGGUGUAGAAGUGAAAUUCGUAGAUAUCGGGAAGAACACCAGCGGCGAAGGCGGCCUCCUGGACCGAUACUGACGCUGAGACUCGAAAGCGUGGGGAGCAAACAGGAUUAGAAACCCGAGUAGUCC
rnacentral:rRNA from 1 species